UACGUAUGGUGCAAGCGUUAUCCGGAUUUACUGGGCGUAAAGGGAGCGCAGGCGGCGCGCCAAGUCUGAUGUGAAACCACGGGGCCCAACCCCGGGACUGCUCUUGGAACUGCGUGGCUGGAGUGCAGGAGGGGCAGGCGGAAUUCCUGGUGUAGCGGUGAAAUGCGUAGAUAUCAGGAGGAACACCGGUGGCGAAGGCGGCCUGCUGGACUGCAACUGACGUUGAGGCCCGAAAGCGUGGGGAGCAAACAGG
rnacentral:rRNA from 1 species